rnacentral:rRNA from 1 species
UGGGGAAUUUUGGACAAUGGGGGAAACCCUGAUCCAGCCAUUCCGCGUGUGCGAUGAAGGCCUUCGGGUUGUAAAGCACUUUUGGCAGGAAAGAAAUCGUGUGGGUUAAUACCCUGCGCGGAUGACGGUACCUGCAGAAUAAGCACCGGCUAACUACGUGCCAGCAGCCGCGGUAAUACGUAGGGUGCAAGCGUUAAUCGGAAUUACUGGGCGUAAAGCGUGCGCAGGCGGUUCGGAAAGAAGGAUGUGAAAUCCCAGGGCUUAACCUUGGAACUGCAUUCUUAACUACCGGGCUAGAGUGUGUCAGAGGGAGGUGGAAUUCCGCGUGUAGCAGUGAAAUGCGUAGAUAU